AGAUCUGUAUCGGGUGCUGAGCGACACGASAUGUUUCACGAUCCAUUCUUUCUUUAAUUUCAAAAUUGAAGUGAUUUUUGUCAGUGUAAGCACUACCAUUCCAAUUAAGGACAAGAAGACCCUAAGCAUUUUUAAUAUUUCAGUUAAAAAUUUUAUGUUUUAAAUAACUUUUAAUUGGGGCGAUUACAAACCACUAGAAACUUUAUUUCUCCAAUCAAUAAACCAUCAUUCAUGGCCACCUGUUAAACAUCCUCUAGGCAUUACAGCGUCAUUUUUUUUGAUAGAUCCUAAUAGACACCACAGUGCCGCGCCCAGGACCUCAAUAAUGGUUAGCAUCUGAUUUAAUGUAGCCUCAAAACAAGAAGUUUAUCCCGACUCUUAAAAUCCUACAUAAACUCAG
rnacentral:rRNA from 1 species